rnacentral:rRNA from 1 species
GAUGAACGCUGGCGGCGUGCCUAAUACAUGCAAGUCGAGCGAACGGACGAGAAGCUUGCUUCUCUGAUGUUAGCGGCGGACGGGUGAGUAACACGUGGAUAACCUACCUCUAAGACUGGGAUAACUUCGGGAAACCGUAGCUACUACCGGAUAAUAUUUUGAACCGCAUGGUUCAAAAGUGAAAGACGGUCUUGCUGUCACUUAUAGAUGGAUCCGCGCUGCAUUAGCUAGUUGGUAAGGUAACGGCUUACCAAGGCAACGAUGCGUAGCCGACCUGAGAGGGUGAUCGGCCACACUGGAACUGAGACACGGUCCAGACUCCUACGGGAGGCAGCAGUAGGGAAUAUUCGGCAAUGGGCGAAAGCCUGAUCGAGCAACACCGCGUGGGUGAAGAAGGUCUUCGGAUUGUAAAGCCCUGUUAUUGGGAAAGAAAAGAAGUAGAAGAAUACGUCGCCAUUUUGACGGUACCCAAUGAAAAAGCACCGGCUAACUUCGUG